GCUGACAUGGUGCAGUGGUUUGAGCAUUAGACUAUGACUCUGGAGACCAGGGUUCAGUUCCCCACUCAGCC
rnacentral:tRNA from 1 species